GCCUUCCUUUCUUUUCUCGCCCCUCCCGAACAGAGCACUCUAUCCACACUUUCCUUCUCUCCUCACGGUCACGGACAAGGCAGCAGUAGCGGCGGCUACAGUUUGGAUCGGCGGCGGCGCGUUUGAGCAAGCGGCGGCGACGCGGUCGAGAUUCUCCAUGUCGGUUGAUCUUCACAUGUGCGCGCAUUUAUGGUCAACGAAUAUAAAGAGGUUUAUUGGUUGUUUUUCAUCAACUGGUUGGUUGCUUGUCUGUCCACUAUAUGUAUAGAUAUCCCACUGAAGAGAAUUAAACAGCAGCAUUUCUCUUUCUCCCGUGGAGUACUCCAGUGCCUUUCCUUUGAGAUCAGUUAAAAUCAAGAUAUCAAUGGCAGACAAUACAUCAGCAGCUAGUUCAUCGUAAGGCGGACACAAAGAGCCACAGAUGGACCGACGACUCCUGAAAGCAGCCGCAUCUGGUGAUUCCACAUCAAUGGAGGAGAUGGCUUCGCAAGAUCAAAGCAUUCUUCAUGGGAAAACUCCGCAAGGGAACACCUGCCUCCACAUAUCCUCCAUCCAUGGCCACCAGGUAUUUUGCACGGAUGCGGUGGCACUGGAGGAAUCACUCCUUGCCACUGUAAAUUUGGAUGGGGAGACGCCUCUUCUCACUGCCAUUACACGUGGCUGGGUCUCAUUGGCUUCUGUCUUGCUCCGAUGCUGCCGUUCACGGCGGUUGAGUGAGGCAAUCCUGCAACAAGACACGCAUGGAUGCAAUGCACUGCACUAUGCCAUUCGCAGCGGUCACAGGGAGCUUGCGCUGGAGUUGAUAGCAGCAGAGCCUGAUCUGUCGAAGCACGUGACCAAGUUCAAUGACUCACCCAUGUACAUCGCGGCAAAGAGAAAUUUUGCAGAUGUUUUCGAGGAACUCUUGAAUAUUCCAGAUUGUAGUCAUGCGGGACGGUGUGACAACAAUGCUUUGCAUGCCGCAGCUACAAAUGGGAAUGGAGACAUCGCUACAAAAAUCAUGAGGAUGCGACCUGAAAUGGCCAGAGCAGCUAACAAGUACGGCAAUACACCAGCAAGAUUGGUUGUACUUUAUAACAAGGUUGACAUGCUACGAGUAUUGCUAGAACAUGAUUGUUCUUUAGGGUAUGAAGUGAGCACAAAAGGUUUUUCCCUGCUUCAUGCUGCCGCAUAUCGAGGUCAUAUUGAUGUUGCUAGAGAGAUUCUUAAACAUUGUCCUGAUGCUCCUUAUUGUCAAGUAGAUAACCAAGAUGGUUUGACACUCCUACAUACAACUAUAACCAACAAUCAUGCAGAGUUUGCUGACUUUAUCCUGAGGACACCGCAACUUCGCAAAGUCAUUAACAUGCAAGACAACCAAGGAAAACCCCCUCUACAUUAUGCAGUCCAAAGUUGCAAUCCUAAAAUAGUCGCUGCCUUACUGUCUCAUGAGGAUAUAGAUGUAACAAUGAUCGACAACAAUGGUGAUCCAGCAACUUGGGAACUGUGGAAAGUCAUACAGAAUGCCAAGACAUUAAACUGGAAUGAAGUGUGCAUGCUUAUGCUAAAAGCAAAUCCUCAACAUACUGGAUCUAUUUAUAAUCUUCAUCGGAAAGCCAAGCAAGAGGCGACUAAUGCAUCAAGGAAGGAUGCAAAAUCACUAACUCAAAUAUACACAACCAACACUUCGUUAGUAGCAAUCCUCAUUACAACAAUAGCCUUUGCUGCCGCUUUCACCCUACCUGGAGGAUACAGCAAUGGCGCUGGAAGCGAGGGACUUCCCGUCAUGUCUCGCAAGGUUGCAUUUCAGGCAUUCUUGAUCUCUGACACCUUAGCGAUGUGCUCUUCAUUUGCUGUCGCCUUCAUAUGCAUCAUGGCAAGGUGGGAGGAUUAUGAGUUCUUGGUUUACUAUAGAUCCUUUACUAAGAAGCUCAUGUGGUUUGCAUAUGUGGCAACUACCACAGCCUUUUCAACUGGUUUAUAUACGGUGUUGCCCCCACAUCUCCACUGGUUGGCCAUUGCAAUUUGCAUUACAGUAGCUUUGUUGCCCAUUCUCACGAAGCUGCUGGGCGAAUGGCCUGUCUUGAGGCUUAGAUUUCGGCUCGGAAAAACUUUCAACUCUGAUCUCCUUGACAUUGUGUGACCUCAGAUAUUUGUCUUCUGGUCCGUGUAACAUUUUGCAAUCUAUCUGCAGUUGACACUGUUUGGCUACUCAUAGAAUUGUUCACUCAUCAUGAAAAAAUAUUGUACUAUUAUUCUUGUAUUCAGCUCAAUUUUUGGGACAGAAUGUGGUCAUGUUAUUCUUGUAUUCCACUUAAACUAAAUGCGGUGAUUCGGUCUCCAGAGAUAAUUCAUGCCAUCUGCAAUGGCAGUCGCCAUGGGUUAUCAGCAUCUGAAAGACGAGAGUUGUCAUGAAACCAUACAAAAAGAUGCUGAAAGCACCACAGAAAAGUAUAUUAUGAAGAAAUUCAGGUACUGUUGAGCACUAGUAAGAUUGAACGUGCAAUGAAUGUAUCGACUGAUGCACAAAAAAGCAGUCUGUUUAAUACCGAUGUGCACAAAUAAUUGGUAUAAGCCAAAUAAUCACUUAUUUGCAAAUUUCUUGCAAGCAGAAUCACAGUAUUAGCUUGUAAAAAUGCAAUCCUUAUAGAUAUAUCACGGCAAAAUAUAACCUGUAGUACAUUUUAAAGCACAAUAUGUAAUCAUUACACCAUGGAUAGCAUGUAAGGACCACAAAAUCACUAAAUUAUAUACUUUUAUUACAACAAAUCAGGAGCCAUGAAUAUUAAUGAUAGCAGAUGACAUAGUGUAAUAAGUUGAAGCAACUUGUGCCACCAGUUCACCCGGAUCAAGGACUUAGUGUUGGCUCUCAUCUCCUUGGAUACAACAUAUGGGACGGCGGGCAGAUCACCCGGCAGUGCUGUCUGAUGGCGAUCCGAGGUAUCUGUUGCUCCUUGGUUCUCAGUUUCUGGGUUUGAGAUUGUGAUGAUGGAACGCAUGAGGCCACAGCCCUGAAACAGAACAGGUAACAUUUCACUUCAGUUAUACUACUGCCUCUGUUCGGAAAUAAGUGACGUGGUUUUAAUCUGAACUAAAACCACUCCACUUAUUUCCGAACAGAAUUUGCUAAAAGGACUUCAUUUGUAACGCCUGACACUGGCAGAACAAAGAGCAAUGGUAUUAUGUACUCCUGAAUUACAUUAUGUAUCACCUGAAUUGCUAGUAACACCUGACACCGUUGAUCCUGAAUUACAUUAUGUAUCAUUGUAUCAUAUAUGUAUGCACUAGCAAUUCAGGACCAACUACCAUGUUGGCUAGCAGGAUGUGUGAAGAACUGCAGGUAGCAGAACGAAGCAGCCAUCAGCCCUGUACGGAUAGACCCACACGAUCGACAGCCUGUCAGCGCAAUCUUCAGGAGAUACAACUACUGUACUUGUCUUUUCGAGAAAAACAACAACUACUGUACUUGUAACAGCUAGUAGUUCUGAUGGCAUUGGAAACUUGCCUAAGAUCCCACUGGUGAACACGCCCUGCCAGUGGUGCCAGUAGCGCGACACGCCCCAUCGCAGCAAGGAGCGGGGAUCAAAAUGCUGAGCUUGCUGCUAUGUCCUUGAUCGAUGAUCUACAAGUUUUAUCAGUCCCACGUCUUUGCAUUUUCAGCACCACCGAGAAAUAGCUGGGGAAAAAAGAGGAAAUCUGGAUUUUAUGCACUGCAGAGAUGGAGCUCAAUCAUGAUGGUUUCAUCUUUCUUCUGCCAUUUUCAGAUUCGCGCGAUACGAUGGGAGAUGGAAGCUUUGUUGGGCAUGAAGAAAUGAGGAAAGCGAGGGAUGCAUAUAUCCAUGUCUUUUUCACUUUUGCAAUGCACGAGAAACCGCAAUGCAUGGUGUAUUUCUUGUCUUAUUUUUUCCUUGUCUUAUAAACUGCACUAGGGUACUGAGUAGCGGUGUUAUCAGUUAGUUAUCUUGGCGCUUAAUAGCAAGACAAUGUUGGAAGUGUCGAGUGCGGACUACGUUGUAGAUUUAGUUGAAUGAAUGAAUAUCUGUAUGUGAUGACCUCAAAUAAU
rnacentral:rRNA from 1 species